AGGAAAGGGCUGCAUAUGUGACUGGUA
rnacentral:piRNA from 1 species